rnacentral:lncRNA from 1 species
GUAUUUUGGGUGUAUUCCAGGUGUGGUUUGGGUGUGUUUUUGGCUGUAUUUUGGGUGUGUUCUGGGUGUAUUUCGGGUGUAUUUUUGGGUGCAUUUUACAUUUAUUUUGGGUGUAUUUUGCAUAUAUUUCGGGUGUAUUUUGGGUGUAUUUUACGUUUAUUUAGGUGUAUUUUGGGUGUAUUUCAGGUGUAUUUUGGGUGUAUUUUGGGAGUGUUUUGGGUGUAUUUCAGGUGUGUUUUGGGUGUAUCUCAGAUCUAUUUUGGGUGUAUUUCGGGUGUAUUUUUGGGUGUAUUUUGGGAGUGUUUUGGGUGUAUUUCAGGUGUAAUUUUGGGUGCAUUUUGGGUGUAUUUCAGGUAUAUUUUGGGUGUAUUUUGGGUGUAUUUUUGGGUGUUUUUGGGUGUACUUUGGGUGUAUUUUACGUUUAUUUUGGAUGUAUUUUGGGUGUAUUUCAGGUGUGUUUUGGGUGUAUUUCAGGUGUAUUUUUGGGUGUAUUUUUGGGUGUAUUUUUGGGUGUAUUUUGGGUGUGUUUUACAUUUAUUUUGGGUGAUUUUUGGGUGUAUUUUUGGGUCUUUUUGGGGUGUAUUUUUGGUGUAUUUUGGGUGUUUUUGUCACUCACCGGGGGGAAUUCGCUCAGUUUCUGGAAGGCGCGGAUGUACAGCUCAUGCUGGGGGGAGGGGAGAGAAAACAUCAGGAAAUUCCGGAAAAUUCCGGGGGAUUUUCGGGAAUUUUGAGGUUUUGGGGAUUCUUGGGAUUCCCCGAAAAUAUCUGGAAAUUUUCAGGAUUUUUGGGGGAAUUUUUUGAAUUCUUGGGAAUUUUUGAGCAUUUUGGGAUCCUUGGGAAUUUUAAGGGAAUUUUUAGAAAUUUUGGGCACUUUGAGAAUUCUGGGAAUUUGGUAAAUGUUGGGAAUUUUGGAAUUCUUGGGAAUUUUCUGGAAAUUUUUGAGAAUUUUUGGCAUUUUGGGAAUUCGGGAAAUUCGGUGAAUUUGGGGGAUUUUAAGGGUUUUGGGAAAUUUUGGAAUUUUGGGAGAUUUGGGUAAUUUUGGGGAUACUUUGAAAUGUUGGGAAUUUUGAGAA